AUUGAACGCUGGCGGCAUGCCUUACACAUGCAAGUCGAACGGUAACAGGUCUUCGGAUGCUGACGAGUGGCGAACGGGUGAGUAAUACAUCGGAACGUGCCCGAUCGUGGGGGAUAACGGAGCGAAAGCUUUGCUAAUACCGCAUAAGGUCUACGGAUGAAAGCAGGGGACCGCAAGGCCUUGCGCGAACGGAGCGGCCGAUGGCAGAUUAGGUAGUUGGUGGGAUAAAAGCUUACCAAGCCGACGAUCUGUAGCUGGUCUGAGAGGACGACCAGCCACACUGGGACUGAGACACGGCCCAGACUCCUACGGGAGGCAGCAGUGGGGAAUUUUGGACAAUGGGCGCAAGCCUGAUCCAGCCAUGCCGCGUGCAGGAUGAAGGCCUUCGGGUUGUAAACUGCUUUUGUACGGAACGAAAAGACUCUGGUUAAUACCUGGGGUCCAUGACGGUACCGUAAGAAUAAGCACCGGCUAACUACGUGCCAGCCGCCGCAGUAA
rnacentral:rRNA from 1 species